rnacentral:lncRNA from 1 species
CCUCAGAGUAAUAUUUCAGGACUACAGCAACAGCAGCAGCAAUUGGUUGGAACCCAGUCGGGUAACUCAAGCAUGCAAACUAAUCAACAAUCUUUACACAUGCUAUCCCAGCCCAAGGUUGCACUCCAACAAACGCAGCAGACUGCACCUAAUUUACUGCCAACUCAAGGACAGACAUCCCAGCAGCCACAACAGCAGCAGCAACUGAUGUCUCAGAUGCAAUCACAGCCUACUCAGUUGCGGCAACAGUUGGGUUUGCAACAGCAGCCCAAUCAAGUACAACAAAAUAUGCAGCAGAGACUUCAAGCAUCAGGUCAAACAUCAAGUUCCUUGCUUCAAUCACAAAAUUUGAUAGAUCAGCAACAGCAGUUGUAUCAAUCACAGAGAGCUGUUCCGGAGACAUCAUCAAGUAUGUUUUUGAAUUUUUGCAGUUACAUACUGUUGCUCUUUGCCUUAUUUCUUUGUUGCUUUCUGAUAUUGUGUUAUUUAACUGAUCUCUAAAUAUUUCCUCAGAUAGCCCUGAAUUCUCUUUCCUCUUAUACACCAACUACACAAUUUUCAUAGUUGAUGCUUUUGUUUUGCAUCAACUACACAAUUUUCCUGAAACAUUGUUGUCGCCCUUAUCAUUGUGAGGUCUUAACUGCUGUGACCUUGCUAUCAUGUCACCGUUAAUGCUUUGCUGCAGUAAUUGUGCAACGGUUUUGUUAAACCAUGAAGGAACUACUGGAUUAAUCUAUUCACUUUGACAAACAGUUCUUUCUCCUUCAUUCAUUGAGUUGUCCUAUUGAAUAUAGAACUUUUUUCAGGAAAGAGUUAAAAUUGUUUACCGUGUAAAGGAAAGAAGUGGUCAUGUUUUGCUGGUUAAUUUUAAAAAGGAGAAAAUUUUGCAGUGAGUUAUUGAGCUCAACUAAACAUGUCCAUGCCUUCAAAUUCAUUUCAAAUUUAGAAUAGUCUGAAAUUUUUAGCAGUUUGUUUGAUUAUGUCAGGUUGGUUCCACUCAAUUCCUUUUUCCAACGUUUGUAUCUUUUUUCUUCCUAGUAAUCUAACUUUCAGGAUAUUCCCAACAUGGAGCUCAACAUGAAAUAUAUGAUUAGGAGAUUGCAGGCCUUGAAAUCGGCUUGUUACUGGUUUUGCAUCAAACUAGAGGGUAAACAUGCUUGCAAAUGUUAGGAGUUUUGUUUGGAGAAGGAUGCACAAAGAAUGUCCAGAUAAGCAAGUGAUUACAGCGAGGCAGUUCUUUCCUGCAUGAAAUGGUCUAAAGGGUGUCAAAACUCGAUUGUUUUAGUGGUGUCUUGGCUCAGUUUCACUGCUUCCGCUGAGACAUGAGAUUUGUGCUGCAGAAUUAAUUAAGUUUUAUAUCUGAACUGUACAUCCCUUGUGGCUAAUUUGUUCCACAAAUCAUUUUAAUGCUUAGUCUGAUUCACCCUUAUUAGCUUACCAGAUUUAGCUUUCAGUGGUUUAAUAGGUCAAUAGCAGAAAAUAUUUAACUUAUUUUAGGUCUUCCUUCUCACUUAAACUUACCAAUCAUUUAUUCAUAUUCCAACUGAACUUAGAUGUAGGUGGCAAAUAGUUAGCUUUAAACUAGCCUUGAUAGUUAAGAAUGAUGUUUGAACUCUGACUUGAUCUUUUGUGUAUCACAAUGGAAACUUUACAGAAUUUCUGCUUUAGUGGAGUAGACAUAGAUCUUGGAAUAUCCCAAAAGGAAAAGGCAUUUGAAUGGGAUUGCAGGGAGCAUGCUUUUUAAUGGAUAACCUAAAAAACUUGGAUAUGCAUGGAUAGUUGCAAAAACUAGCAAUAAAACCUUCUCAUAUAUUCAAGUCCAAAAUGUUUAAUGGUUUCUUCAAAUGCUUUUCUGUUGUACCCGUGGUGUGUCUGAUGGAAUCUUAUGACUUAAGAAUUCUUUAUUGACUGCAUUAUGAUCCCUGCGUCUCCCCUUCUAUGCUAUGUGCACCUUAAUUUUCUUUGAGAAUUGGUCAUAUUCUGCUCAAAUUUACCCCUCUUCCAUAAGGUAUUUAUUUCAAUGUUCUUUUAGACAUGCAACAAAAUCAUGUAUUUUUUUGUAUAACCAAUUUUCUUCCAUUUAAAUUAUGAUUUUGUAAUUCUUCUUGCUCCAAAAAUUUUCAUUAUUCUUUAUGUAUCUUCUUUUAGUAUCUUUAGAUUCCACAGCUCAAACAGGACAUUCUAAUGGGGGUGAUUGGCAAGAAGAGGUCUAUCAAAAGGUAAAAACUAUCUUGGCCCAUUCUCCUACAGGUAAUAAUUAUGCUUACAACUUGGUUUAAGAAGGUAAAACCCCUGAACCCUGAGUAUGUUGUGAUGUGUCUCUUUACGGAAACUAUGAAACGGAAGAAUUAGAAAGAAAUUCAGAUAUUUUCUGAUUGACUCGUUAGUUUGGUUAUAAGUACUUGAAUGUUCUUAGAAGAAAGAAAUAAAGCUUAUAAACUUUUUGGUUUCAUUUGAAAGAUCCAUUAAGACGUGUUUGCAAGAAACAUAAUAAAACUAUUUAUAUGAUUUGAGUUUCUAAAAUUUUUUUAAAAAAAAUCUUUUUUUAAAAUAAAACAUUUGGUAUAUAUAGAUUUCAUAAAUAAAAAAUUAAUAAAUUCCAUAAACACAUAUUCAGACAUAGAAACUGUAUAUAAUAACAAAAUGUUCUUAGAAGAAAGAAAUAAAGCUUCUAAACUUUUUGGUUUCAUUUGAAAGAUCCAUUAAGAUGUGUUUGCAAGAAACCUAAGGCCCAAGGACUACUACAAAAGUCUCGCAUGCUUGAUUUAAAAGUAAUCAUCAUUUAUUCAUAUGUUUCUUCUGUAUUUAACUAAAAUCAGUACCGGCUUAUCAGAAAAUUGAAAAAUCUUUGUACUUUUCUAAUAAACCAUAAUUCUAGAUGAAUUGGGUGGUUUAGUUGUCGGCUAACCAUCCUGUUCCUGAUUUAAUGUUGCAGAUCAAGGCCAUGAAAGAGACAUACUUCCCUGAAUUAAAUAUGAUGCACGAGAAAAUCUCUGCCACGUUGCUGCAGGUAGAGGUAGGUUUAUCCUUUCACAUAAUCAAACCUUCAAAGAGUAAUCGAACCCAUCUGCAUGAACCUCUGCCUCCCUUUAUCUCUAACUUGAAUACAGAGAGGACUUCACCACACAUCAGGAAGCUUUCGAUCCCAUACCGCUUUUUAAUUGCGCUACUUGAAUCCCUUUCCUUUAGGCACACUGUUUACUGGUUGCACUUUAUGCUUAUCUGAUGUAAUAGUGGUUUGUUAUUCUACUUGCAUCAGUUAAAAACAAUUCUAUGCAUUCUAUUUUCCAGCAUGAUUCUCUUCCACAGCAGACAAAGUCAGCGUGGCUUGAGAAGAUGAAACUAUUCAAGACCAUGUUGGAGCGCAUUCUAUCUUUCUUAACAAUUUCCAGAGCUGCUAUAGUACCGGCUUUCAAGGACAAGUUGAGUUCGUAUGAGGACCAGAUAGGAAAAUUUAUAAUUGCCAAUAGGCCAAGGAAGCUUGUCUCAGCUUUGCAGCAAGGACAGCUUCUUCCAACUCAUAUGCAUUCCAUGCAGCAGCCUCAACCUGAAAGUAAUCAAACACAAUCUCACGAUAAUCAAAUGAACCCUCUGUUUCCGUCAAUGAUGAGACCAGCUCAGAUGCCGCAAUUGAAGAAGCAAAUGCCGAGGCUACAGCAGCUGCAGCUUCUUCAAAUGCUGCAACAGCGAGGUAUGCACCGGGUUGAUGAGCUGCAGUCACCUGCAAAGAUUAAAACAAAUGAAUUAUCAUAUUUACAUCAAAUAGAUAUUGAUUCUGGAGUUCUUCAAGAAAAUCUCCCUAGUAACCAACUUCCAGGUUAUGAGCAAGCAAGUUCUGAAUACCACGCCCCCGACACUGCUGGGAUUGGUGUGCCGCCAAUUAUGUCAAUACCACCUUUACUUCCAGGGUUUAAAGAAGUUAAUGAUACUAGUGGUAAUGCUUUGACAACUGAUUUUGGCAAGCCGGACAUCGCAGAACAGCCACAUGAUCUCAAGGUGAACAUGGUUAGUAAUUCACAUGCUUUUUUUCCUUUUUUCUUGAUUGGGUUUGAUAGUUUUGUUCAUGAGGAAAUGGGGGAAAUCACCUUGAAAUUUAUCAUCUAUUUUCCUUUCUGAUGUUCAUAUUAACCCUCAGUUGCUGAUUACUAUUUUGUAUGGUUCAGGCAAAACCCAAAUCACUGAGUGCAACUGUGGUGACCAUGGUUGAUGAGGCAGUCACUUCAGUCGGCGAGGAUUUGGCCGCCAUGAGAAAGCAAGGACUGCAUGCAAGAAAUUUCUUUACCCAAACUGGAAUGAGUGGAGCUGAGAAAAUGAGAUGUUAUUUGAGUGCAUUAGUUAUAUUAGCUCUCCUCAUUUUUUUCAUUUUCAACCUCAACCACCAAUAUUAAAGCACUAGAAUAUGCAGGACCGGUUCAGUUCUAUACCCCACCCCCCUAAAUUUUGUUUUAAGUUUAUUUCUGGGUAAAGGAUGAAAGAUCUUUUUAUUACCAUUGGUUUCUCUCUUUAUAAUAAUAAUAAUAAUAAUAGUAGCCAGGGAACUUGUUCCCUUGUAAUCCAUUAGAUGUCCUGAUAAUUUAUCUUCUUAUUCUAGCUUGAGAAAUUAUAUAUAUUUGCGUACCAAACCAUCAUUCGAAUAUCUAAAAUAUUUGUGUUUGUCAAUGUUUUCCUACGAAUAUAUUGCUUUUUUUAAUAAAUUUUAAUAAUUCAAAUUGUCUGUGUAAUUAUAAGCAUAAUCUAGUAUUAAAUAAUAAGAUUUUUUAUCUAUAAAUUUGGAUAGUUUAAAUUAUAAAUUAUAAUAAAAGUGUAUUUCAAUAUAAAUAUAAAAUGCAAUUUAUUUAUUAAAUAUUAUCCAUUCUAGUAUUUUAUUUAGUUUUAAUAUAAUAAUUUAAAUAUUUUUUAUAAUUGAAUUUAUGUGCUAUUUGUUAAACUAAAAAAUUGAGUGUUGUAAAUUUAAGUAUUAUAGUUAAGUUAUAAAAUAUGUUUUGGUGUGUUCUACAUUAAGUGAUAAGUUGUUUCUUAGCUACUUAUUACCUUGUUCUUUAACCUAUUACUCUUCAAAGUCUUGAAUUAAUAUAGAUUCUUAUUUGUCAUAUUAAGAAGGUUUCGAAGUAUUAUCCAUUGACCCCAACAAUGACUGGUAUUUUCCCAGGUGGGGUCUUAAUACUUUGUGUGAAUUGUGAAUUUAGUACUUCUACUUUAAUUUGAUCAAUUUGAGUCCUUGUAUUUUUGAAUUUUGAAUUUUUUAAUUCUGACCCAAUAAUAAUAAUUAAAUUUGUUUGAUUAAAUUAUGUUAUUAGUCCUAUAUUAAUAUGUGUACAGUUAUAGAUUUAGUCUAUGUUCACCAAUUGGAUCAUUUUUAAUGGUUAUAUUUUUUGAAUUUCAACAUUUUAGUCUUAAUGCAAAUGAUUGAAUUUCAACUAAUAUGUGAAAAAAAUAUAUAGAAUUAUACAAGUGAUAAUAUGUUUGACACAUCAAAAUUUAAAAAUAACAGAACUUAAGUUAAUGAAUUUAAUAUUAUCAUUUGGUUAGAAGUUAGAACAAAAUUUUAAAUUCUAAAAGUAUAGGGACUGAAGAUGAUCAAAUCAAAGUACAGGUACUAAAUCCACAACUUACACAAAGUAUAAGGUCUAAUAGCAUAAUUUGACCAUAUUUUUUUAAAUAAUAUCAAGCAAUCACGUAAAUUGAUCAAUAACAAUACAAAAAGGAAAAAAAUGCUAUUACAUGUUCUUAAUUGUUUCCCUUUGUCUUCUCAUGUUCUUGAACCUUUUUAUUACCUUUCAUUGAGCAAAAAGAACCAAUUUCUUCGCUUUCUUCUUUGUUUCUUUUAUCCUUAAAUUUUACCACCAUAUUUUGGCUCGUAUCAGUUUUUAAGCUUAUCUAAGAAGGGUUGAAUCAGAUUUCAGAUAUAACAUAACUUCCCAUUAAUAGCUUCUCUACUUCUCUUCCCUUUUAAUCUUCCGUUUUCUUUUCAGCCUAACAGAUAGGAUUCUCCAAGCCCCUCUUGUUUUCGAGUUUAGGUAAAAUUUUCAUUAUCUUUUUUUUAUAGGUUGCUCUCCAACAAACGCAGCAGACUGCACUUUGAUUUAUUGCCAACUCAUCCCAGCAGCAGCAGCAGCCCAUGUCUCAGAAUGAAUCAGAGCUUACUCAGUUGCAGCCCACCAUCAUCAAGAACAGCAAGAGACAUCAUCAAGUAAGUUUUUGAAUCUUUGCUGCUCUUUGAUUUGUUUCUUCGUUGUUUUCUCAUACUGUGUUAUUUUAAUUAGUGCCGUGAAUUCUUUUUCCCCGUAUAGUCACCACCCACUAUACAGUUUUCUUUUAGUCCAUGUUGUUGCUUUGCGUUUCAUUUCUACUAUAGGAAGUAAUUUUCUUUCCAACUUGAGGAGAUUACGAGAAUCUUUUUGUUAGAAUUGUGUGACCCAAAUUCUAAGAGAUUGCUUGCAAGUCAAGUUAAACAAAAAUAUAUUUUCUUUCUAGAAGAUUUAGUAUUUAUUAGUAUAAUAUAUUUAGCAUUUAUUAGUAUAGUUUAUUUGACUUACUAAUUUAGCCUAUAAAUAGGCUCCUUUACAAUCUUAGAAUUAAGUGACACCCAUUAGAUUAGAACUCAUAACACAUUCAGAGAAUUUUGUGUUUACGUUUGAGGGUUCUUUGUUUUUCGGGUUUUCGGGGUUUAGUUUUUAUCUCCAUCUUUUGUACUCUUCAUUCUUUUGCCAUUAUAGUAAAAUUAUCUUUGCCCGUGGUUUUUUAUCCUCUUUUGAGGGGUUUUUCCACGUUAAAUUUGUGUGCUCAUCUUCUCAAUUUCUUCUACUAUUUUUACUUGUUCGUUGCUUAAUCGGGACGAUCCUAACAAGUGGUAUCAGAGCUAGUUUAACUUUCAUAGAUCAGCCCGGUCAGAGAUGGCAGCAACAAGGUUUGAAAUUGAGAAGUUCGAUGGUGAGACAAAUUUCAAUCUGUGGCAAGUUCGGAUGAUGGCAAUUCUAGUUCAAAAUGGCUUGAAAAAGGUUGUUACAGGGAAAAAGCUUGAGAAUCUAAAUCAAACAGAAUGGGAAGAGCUUGAUGAAAAGGCCUUGUCUGCAAUCCAGUUGUGCCUCGCGAAUACAGUAUUGCAGGAGGUAUUGAUGGAGAAGACCUCAUUCGCCUUGUGGAAAAGGUUAGAAACUCUUUAUGCGACUAAGUCUCUGGCUAACCGUUUAGUGUUGAAACAACGUCUAUUUACGUUUCGCAUGAACGAAGGUGAGCUUCUUAAAGAUCACAUCAGUCAAUUCAUUACUCUUUUAAAUGAUUUAAAGAACGUUGAGGUUCAUAUUGACGAUGAAGAUCAAGCUAUGCUAUUAUUGUGCUCUUUACCCUCUUCAUACAAGUCUUUUAGGGAGACCCUGAUUUAUGGCAGAGACAAACUCUCAUUCGAAGAUGUGAAGGGUCAUUUGUUGAGUAGAGACAAACUCGACAAUGAGUUUGAUUUGAAUAGCAAAGCAGAUAGACAAGCUUCCGUUUUGGUAGCAUCAAAGAAACGAGACAAAAGGUGUCGCUAUUGCAAAAAGUUAGGUCACGUCAAAGCAGAUUGUUGUAAACUGCGAAAUAAAAGAGCUGCUGAGAGUAACGAGGAAGAUGUAGCUGGUGCUAAUUUGGUCGAUGAAGGCGGUGAUGAUUUCUUGUUAGUGUCAACGAGCGAUAACUCCAAGCUUACGUCUGAGUGGAUCCUAGAUUCAGGAUGUUCUUUCCACAUGUGUCCCAAUAGAGAAUGGUUCUCCACAUACAGUUCAUUUGAAGGUGGAGUUGUGCACAUGGGAAACGAUUCAUCUAGUAAAAUAAUCGGUAUUGGUACUGUUAAAAUUAGGAUACACGAUGGGACGAUUAGGACACUCUCAGAUGUCAGGUAUGUACCUGAUUUACGAAAGAACCUCAUCUCCUUGAGUAUUUUAGACUUGAAAGGAUGCAGAAUCAACAUCGAGUCGAGCGACAUUAAAGUAUCUCGUGGAGCUCUCGUUUUGUUAAAAGGUAAAAGAACCGGCAGUCUUUAUAUUCUGAAAGGUUCUACAGUGACCGGUGAAAUCGGACGUCCCUCGUCCGUUACGGAGUCAAAGUCAACUCAUUUGAAGCGGAGGCAACUUGGUCAUAGGAGGGAAAAAGGUAUGACCGUUUCGUUGAAGAGAGGUUCUCUUUUGGAUGCAGGUUUUGAAAAGUUAGGGCACUGUAUUCGUAAAAAUCAGACCCGGGUUAGUUUUGAUUUGGCAGUGCACAAGUCGAAGGCUAGAAGUCUUCCACCUUCUAAGCAUAGAUUCGACUCAGUUAAUUCCCUGCAUAGUUCAAGAUAGGCCCGUGGCGGGUUUUGGCAAAGAUGGCAUUGAAAGAAUUCGUGUCAAGGUGGAGAUUGUUAGAAUUGUGUGACCCAAAUUCUAAGAGAUUGCUUGCAAGUCAAGUUAAACAAAAAUAUAUUUUCUUUCUAGAAGAUUUAGUAUUUAUUAGUAUAAUAUAUUUAGCAUUUAUUAGUAUAGUUUAUUUGACUUACUAAUUUAGCCUAUAAAUAGGCUCCUUUACAAUCUUAGAAUUAAGUGACACCCAUUAGAUUAGAACUCAUAACACAUUCAGAGAAUUUUGUGUUUACGUUUGAGGGUUCUUUGUUUUUCGGGUUUUCGGGGUUUAAUUUUUAUCUCCAUCUUUUGUACUCUUCAUUCUUUUGCCAUUAUAGUAAAAUUAUCUUUGCCCGUGGUUUUUUAUCCUCUUUUGAGGGGUUUUUCCACGUUAAAUUUGUGUGUUCAUCUUCUCAAUUUCUUCUACUAUUUUUACUUGUUUGUUGCUUAAUCGGGACGAUCCUAACACUUUUCUUCAACUUGGCUCUGCUCAAAGAUGCUCCUCUUCCGUAAGUUAUUUAUUUCGAUGUUCUUUUAGACCUGCAACAUAGUGAUGUAUCUUUGUGCAUAACCGGUUUUCAUUCAUCUAAAUUAUGUUUUCCUUGUUCUUCUUGCUCCAGAAAGUUUCAUUUUUCUUAUGUGUGCAUUGUUUAUGUUAUGUUCUUUUAGCAUCUUCUACAGAUUCCACAGCUCGAACAGGACAUGAAAAUGGGGGUGAUUGGCAAGGAGAGGUCUACCAAAAGGUAAAAACUAUCUUCACACGUUCUCCUAUUCAUAAUAUUAUGCUUACAACUUGGUUUAAGAUGAUUUUGAGUAGGAAAGGGUACUGAGAGAAUAUUAGGUUAUGGUAUGAUCUGUUUAUGUUGAGAUGCGUCUCUUUACAGGAACUAUAAAACGGAAGAGUUAGAACUCAAAAGGCAAUUUGGAAAGGAAUUUCAGGCAUCUUCUGAUUGAUUUAUUAUUUUGUUAAUAUGAACUUAAAUUUUCUCAGAAGAAAGAAAAUAAAGCUUACUUAAGCCCUUCAGUUAUUUCUUCUGUUAUUAACUAAAAUCAGUGCCAGCUUGUCAGAAAAUGGAAAAAUCUUUUUACUUUUUUCUAAUAAACCAUGAUUCUAGAUGAAUUGAGUGGUUAGGAUGUUGGCUAACCAUUCUGUUCCCGAUUUUAUGUUGCAGAUCAAGGCCAUGAAAGAGACAUACUUCUCUGAAUUAAAUGAGAUACACCAGAAAUUUGCAGCCAAGUUGCUGCAGGGUAGAGGUAGGUUUAUCCUUUCACAUAAUCAACCUUCAAAGACAAAUCGAAUCCAAAUGCAGGAACCUAUGCCUCCCUGUAUCUCUAAAUUGAAUAUGGAGAGGACUUCACUACACUUCAAGAAGCUUUCAGUCCCAUACCGCUUUUUAAUUGCUACUUGAAUCCCUUUCCUGUAACACCCCUAUACCCCGUCCAAUCGUACGACUUCAAGUAACCUAAAAUAGAUAGAAUUUCAAGAGUUUACAUUUUAGUCCCUAACACAUGGAAACACAUUUGGUCUACAUAUGUAUAUGCCGUUUUAAUUCAAAAUAUGGUACGUACUCUUAAAGCUCUUAAGGAUGUGAUGAGAUGAGAAAUCUCCAACCCGAUUCUACCUCUUCGAGUCUAACUGUACCUACGCGUUAAAAAUAAACGCAUUAAACCGAUGAAGGCUUAGUAAUCACUAGUACAAGAAUAAAUAGGUAAAUGAAUCAUAACAAAAUAUUUUAAACUUAUUCAAUUAUUACUUAUUUACAGACAUAUAAGUUUCUUCAGCUAUGCUUACUUUAAUAAAAAUUUAACUUACCUUUUUGUAAGUUAUCAAACUUACCUUAACACAUUGGUGGUUCACUUUUCUUCACAACUUAUAUUUUUAGCCCAAAGUAAACUUUAUAGAACACACCGGAUAUACGAAAAAAAUACAGAGGUGCAUUAUUAUGUACUAUUGAACAGAGAGCACUAAAGUGCUAUACAAAGAACAAGAAUGUGCUAAACGGAGAGCACUAAUGUACUAAUAAUAGGAGAGCGCGCUAAGGUCCUUUAAUGGCAUGCUACUAAUAUCCUAGUAGUUCUAAAUUCCGUCCACUUGGGCAUUAAAGCUGAAUUUCAUAUAUUUAAAUAAUUUACAUAAAUAUUUCGAAAAAGAUUUCUCAUUUCUCCAUCAUCUACAAUUUAGUCCCCAUUUCACAAAUCACAAAUAUCACACAUUUUCCACACAUAUACUUUUACCACAGCAUCAUUACUUAGUGUUCAAACAAUAUACCAUUUCAUAUUCUCCACCUAUAUUUUUCUUUACAAAUUUCAUAAUCUAAUCUUCUUCUUCUUUUUUAUUUACAAAUUUAAAUAUAUAUUUUACAUUUUUAUUCUAAGUAAUUCCAUACAACAAUAUAAGUAUUUAAAUAAAAAUAAGUAGUACUUACAACAAAAAGGUUGAGAUGAUAUUUUCUUCUUCCUUCACUCCUUAGCCUUAUCUUUCCCUUUUUCUUCAAUUAGGUCCCCUACUUUUUUUCUUUCUUUUCAAUUUCAUAUAAAACAUAUAACAUUUAUAUGUUAAAAAAAAAAACAAUCAAGUGACUUUCCUAUACUAUUUAAUAAAAAUAAACAUGUAUGGUAUGAUAACUUUAUCAUUUCUUACCUUAGCUCUUUGAUUUUUACUAGGGGAAUUUCAAAAAAAAAAAAAAAUGAAAGUUUGAAGCUUGGAUGGUUCAACUAUGAUGGUAGGACACGCAGGGAAUUAAAAGAAAAGUUGGAUGAAAAUUGGGGGAAGAUGACUAAAGGCAUGUUCUGCAAUGCUUAAAAAAAACACUUCUGGUUCCAAAAGCGCUUUUGGAAGAAAAGCGGUGCUAAAGAAGCUGUUUUUGGCUGAAACUUUUAUCUUUUCAGAAAUGCUUUUCAAAAGCACUUUUAAAAAGGAAAAGCUAAAAGGGUCAGUUCUUCAUUGCUUUUGAAAAAUAUUUUUUAAAUGUGCUUUUAAAAAGUUUGGUUUAAAAUUUGAGUGUUUAGCAUUGCUGUCAAAAAGUGCUUUUGAGAAAUAAAAUGUCUAUUUUAGACAUGUUAUUAUCAAGUAACAAAAAUACAUUUAAAUCAUUUUUAAAUUAGUUAAUAUUAUUAUAUUUUAGUAAGAAUAUAAAAAAAUUAUUAUAACUUAUUGUUAAUAUUUUAAUAUAUAAAAUAUAAAUUUUAAAUAUUUUUAAGUAAUAAAUAUUAAUUAUUUAUAAAAUUUAAUUAGAAUAUAUAAACUAUAUUUUAAAUAUUUAAAUAUAAUCAUUAAAUAUUUGUAAUUAGUAUUUUAAAAAAUAUUUUUUUUAUUUUUAAUUAAUGAUUUUAACACAUAUGUAAUUAAGCACCAAGAAAAAAAGAAAAGUAUUAUGUUAUUAGAGGGGUGAAAAAGUAAUUAAGCACAAAAAAUACUUUUGAGAGAGGAAAAACUAAAAUUUUUAGCUUUCCUUUUCAAAUAUACUUUUGAAAAGCACAUUUAAAAAGCUAAAAAUUUAAGCCAAAAGUAGUUUGUUCUGUACAGCUUUUCUUCCAAAAAUACUUUUGGAGUCAGAAGUAUUUUUUUUAAGUAAUGAAGAAUUGGCCGUAGUUACAGUUUGUGCACUUUUCUACACCAUUCCAAUAAAAUAUCUCACAAUUUUAAUUAAAAUGGUCAAAUUGCUACUAAGUCCUUAAGCCAUCCAUCUUUUUACUUUUACCCAUAUCAUUACAUCUAAAAAAUAUUCACUUAACUAAUUAUCACUUUGUCCUUCCUCAUCUUUCAUAUUUCCUAGUAUAACUCAUACAACACUUUGGUUAGAUUUCUUUUUAAUCCUUCAUUCAUUUCCUCUACUAUUAUAUGUCUCCUAACUUAAUAUUUUUCCUACUUUGGCCACAACAAUUUCUUUAUUCUUUCAACUAAAUCAAUGUAUCUAUUUUAAAAUUUCCUCUACUACUUUGGCUAAUUACCACUUUUUAUUUUUUAUAUUUUUUAUUAGAUUUAUAUACUUCCUAAUUUAAUACUCAAAAUUCCUACUUAUUAUAUUUCAAAAAAAAUUAUACUAAUUCUUGACUCGAUCCAUCACUGUACCUAAUCCCGAGUUAAAAUGUGGAUGUUACAUUUCCUUGAGGCACUGUUUACUGGUUGCACUUUAUGCUUAUCUGAUGUAAUAGUGGUUUGUUAAAACAAUUCUAUGCAUUCUAUCUUCCACAACAGCCAAAGUCAGCGCGUCUUGAGAAGUUGAAAAUAUUCAAGACCAUGUUGGAGCGCAUUCUAUCUUUCUUAACAAUUUCCAAAGCUGCUAUAGUACCGGCUUACAAGGACAAGUUGAGUUCGCAUGAGAAGCAGAUAAGAAAAUUUAUAAAUGCAAAUAGGCUAAGGAAGUCUGUCUCAGCUUUGCAGCAAGGACAACUUCCUCCACCUCGUAUGCAUUUCUCGCAGUAGCCUCGACCUCAAAUUAAUCAAACACAGCUUCGUGAUAAUCAAAUGAACCCUCAGUUGCGGUCAAUAAACUUACAAGGUUCUAUGCCAGCAAUGCAGCCGAACAACCUGACACGCUCGUUGCAUAGUCCAUUGUCUUCUUUGUCUGGGCUUUCAAUAGAACAGCAAACCAUGUUAAAUUCGCUGCAACCAGGUUCCAAUUUGAAUUCAGGACAGGAUAAGGCUCCAUAAAUAUAUAAAUAAAUAUUUCGGAAAACGAAGUCGGAAGUCGGAAGUCGGAACCAAGAAAAACGACUGAAUCGAAGUGAAGAACUUCGGUUAGGUUAUCGUGGUUGACUUAUAUAAUUGGUCCGUUCGAUCUGUUUUAAGUAUUGUAGUUUGCAAAAGUUUAGUUAACAACAAAUUUUACUCAAUAGAAACAAAUGCAAGAAAAAGUCAUAAUUUGUUAAAUGAAUUUAAGAUAAGUUUGAAAAUUUUAAAAAAAUAGCUUUAAAUUUAUGUUAUAAAUAUAUUUGGUAUACAUUAAAUAUAAUUAUUUUGUUUGGUAAUAAUAAAUAUUGAUUUUUGAAAAUUUUUUAUUUUUGUCUUAUUACUAUAAUAUUAUUUAUUUUAUUUUGAAUAGUUUUAAUAAAAAUUAAAGAUAAAAUUAUUAUUUUUUUAUUUUUGAAGAUAUCUACCUCACUUAACUCUCGCGAUUUAAAAUUAAAAUAUUUUAAAAAUUAAUAAAAUGAGGGAAUAAUUUAAAUAGUUGUGGAAAUAAUUUUAAUACGAUAUUAUUUUUUUAUACACUCGUUUUAUAAUUCAUAUUUUGUUCGAGGUUUGUUUUAAUCAUUUUAACAAUGUCAUUACUAAUGUGUAAACUUGUAUUUUUUUGUUGGAAGUGCAAUGUGCCUAACUACUGUUACCAAUACUUGUUCUAGUACCGCAUGUGCUACCCUUUUGUUCUAAUAGUAAAUCGAAAAAACAAAUAUUAAGUUUCAUUCUAAUGCAAAUUUCAAUUGAUACGGAACAUAUGAGUGUCUAUUAAUUGAUUUCAAUGAUAUAAUUAAUGAGUAUUUAUACUUAAGGUUUGUUUAAUUUUAUUAUUUGAUAUUUACAAAAAGAAUAUAUACAUAUAUCAAAUUUUUUUAUAGGUUAUAAAAAAUUUUAAAUGAUAUAUUGAAAUAAAUCGAUAUUAGUAUUGAUAGAAAACUAAUAUAUCCCUUGAUUAUUUGGAUUUCGAUGCAGUAAUAAUAAGACAAAAUUAAAACAAGGGCGAUAAACAUAGGGACGGUUGUAUUUAUAUAAAAGAUAAUUCAUCAACUUUGGUCUGUCCUCUCUCUUUUAAUAUUCCCUUUUCUUUUGCUUUCUUUACAUACUUCCUCAAGUUUCGAUCAAAAAAAAAAAAAAAAAAACGUACUUCCUUAAGGAAUUCCAUAUUUGCAAAACACAUCCUUCAAGAAUUCUCGAAUCCCAUCUCUGUUUCGGAAUUGGGAAAUACAUUCUUCUGGAAUUCUUGAAGCCGGUCACUGUUUCUAAUUAGGGCCUCCUUAUCGAGGUAAAAAUUUCAAAAAAAAAGUUAUAGAUUUUAGGGUUCUGCUGCUUGAAUAUCCUCAAAAAUUUUACCUGUGAUUAGGUCUUUACUUUCAAGAAUGAAAGAUUUUAUUUUAUUUUUUGAAUAUCAUUGUAUCACCAGUGACAUUGUAUUUACAUAUAUAGUUUCUGCUGUGAAAAAAAAGUAUAAAGCUUGAUUGAAUAUUUGGAUACUCAAUAACGGAAGCAAGCCUCAAAGCAAGUAUUUACAUAUAUACAUUUUUUUCUUUUCUUUUUUUUUUUGUAAUUAAUAAUUUACGCUAAAAUUCUACUUAAAGGGGCUGUUUUCUUCGGGAAAUUGUCUAAAAAAAAAUAGCUGCAAGAGUUUCAGUUGCUUUUUUUGGUUAGAGGGCUCAAAUUUUCUAUAACGGUGAGUCUAGGUAGCAUUCUCAGAAGCCAACUAACAAUUUAAUUCUUUACUGAAUAGCUAUUACUUGAAUAUAAGCAUUGCUUGCCAGUGAUAUGCGCUGGGCUAGUGGGGCAAACAGAGAGAAAGAAAAUGGAAUCUUAAAAAGAUCACCUUGUGUUAGUAUUAAUCAACCAAAUUGAUGUUCGGUUUGUAAAGUUUUGGUUUACAUCGGGAAAGAUCAUGUUCAACUUCAAUCAUGGUCUUAGGGUGUCUCUGAGUGUCUAAUAGCUUGCCGUCUUUUUGUUAGAACUUAAAUGUUGCUGCAAAUGAUGUAAACUGUCCCCCAUGUGUUACAAGUUACAACAUUACAGUACAUUCUGCUCUUAUGUAUGGAUUUAUUCUUUUUGGUUUCUUUGGGAGGGAAUAAGGAGAAAUUUUAACAAAGUCCGUGUUUUCCCGAGGCUCUUACCAGUAGUAGAAACUUAGAAUGGGGAGGGAAGUAUUACUGAAAAGAACUUUGCCAAACGUUUUUCAUAUUUGAGGAGUAACUUAUUUCAAAUUGACUAGUUUCAAUUUAUGACUAGGGAAAUUCGGAUUGAAUAUGUUUGUGACUGUUGUUUUCUCUUUUGCUCUUUUCAGAAUUUCAUGGAUACGAAUAACUGGAGGCCUACUCCUCCUAGUGGAGAGCCCAGCAUGGACAGUGGUGAUUGGAGAACCACUUUGCAGCCUGACUCACGACAAAGAAUUGUCAACAAGAUGUAAGUCAAUUUUAUGGUAUAAUUCUCCAUUAAAUAUACUUGUUAAGUUGCUGAAAUCCUGUGGCUUGUUGUAUGCAGUGAGAAACAAUAGCAUCAAUAAAAACAUAUUUCUUAUUAAAAUGGACCUGUUUUGUUUAGUAACGCUUCAGAAUCAAAGCUUGCUUUACCCAUAGUUUGGGGUUACACUAUGUUAGCCACGUAAAUUUAGCUUAAUGUAGCUAAGCUAUUUCGUCCAGGUCCAACUGUAUCUGCUACACUUGGUAUCAUUAUUUAGUUAACCAUGUGAUUGAAUAAAGAUGCAUUCUUCUUUUAGAUCUUUCUAUCCUUGCAAGAUUUGGUGGUUCUUUUCUGUUCUCAGUGAUGAAGUUGUUUCUCUUAUUAAAUAACUUAUUGCUAUAAGGUACACUAAUGACCUUGUCUUUCUACAACAUUCUCUGAACUAUGGUAAUUAUGAUGGUAUGUGGUCUAUUUGAAUGUAUUUGGUAUAUGAAGGCCAUGAUGACUACUUUGUUUAUAUUGGAAAGGUUUUGUUAAGUUCAAGUGCUACGGCUUUGGAAUUAAAUGAAGGAUGUCCUGAACAAGUUAAAGAGGAAAAUCUUAGCUCGCAUUCUUAGCAUUUAUUAUAUACCAAUUGAAGAUUCCUACGUAUAUCAUAUUUCUUUGUCAAUAACUUAAACAAUGUUUUGCGCACAUAGAAUGGAUACAUUGAAGAGGCAUCUUCCAUUUUCUGGGCAAGAGGGUUUAAGUGAACUUAGGAAAAUUGCUGUGAGGUUCGAGGAAAAGAUUUUUACAGCUGCAAGCAGUCAGGUAAUCCUCAAAUGUUAGCAUUCCAUAAUGUGCUUGGCUGCAUUUUUCUUUACCAAUAUUUAGGUGUGUUUGCAUUGUGUCUUCGUAUUUGUAUUAUCUGUUUUUUCUUAUUCAUAUGCAUGGAAGAAAUCUGGGAAGGAAAGAGAGAGGAGAGGGAAAAACUAAAGAUGCUAAAUGCUACUCAAUAUCAAGCAUGAUUAAUUUAAAUAUUUGAGAAUCUUGUAUUAGAAUAGUAAAGAAACUUGUUUAACACCGCUAUGGAUUUCCAUAUUCAGACUGAUUAUCUGAGAAGAAUAUCGUUGAAGAUGCUUACAAUGGAGACCAAGUCUCAGAAUACCAUGCCCAACACUGGGAAUAACAGCAAACCACCUGAUCCAGGUAACAGCAAGAAAGAGAAUUUGCUUUGAUGUACUAUAGUAGUAGGGUACUUUCCCUUCGCAUGUCCUUUCUAUUCUUCUACAUGCAGAGUCGUUUAAUGUUUAACAUGUAUCGACAUUUGCUCUAGUUAGUAUUUUAGUGAACAUUUUCUAUUUUUGUACCCCUUUUGUCCCCAUAAUGGUAGCGUAUUAAUACUUAAACUAGUUGGGUAUUGUUCAAGUGCCCUCACCUGUUUUAGGUCUAGUUAUCUUUUUGAAUGUUUUAAUUAUUAAUUUGGUUUUUGUUAUCUUGUUUUAAAUGCUCUUCAAUUCUUUUCUUCUGGCUCUUCCCCUACUCUUUUUGAACCAAAAAUAUCGGUGGUAGGUUCUCAGGGCAUGCAGAACCAAGUUCACAGUCAAGGACAAUCAGUUCCUAUACCAUUACAAUGUAAUCAGUCUCAAGCACAUCAACAACUGCUACCCCAGAGUGUUCCGAAUAACAUGGCAUCUGCUGGAGUUCAGAGUUCUGCUGGUUUACAAUCUGGAAUGCCUCCUGUAUCUGGUCUAUCUCAGAAUCCUAUAUCUAAUGUUGUUGGACAGAAUUCCAACAUCCAGAACAUGUCUGGAAUUUUGCAGAACUCAAUGGGGCAAGGAAUGCCUUCCAAUAUUUUUGCUAAUCAGCAGAGGCAAAUGCAAGGAAGGCAGCAGGUGGUUCCUCAACAGCAGCAGCAACAGCUAUAUCAUCAGCAGCUGCAACAAACACUUAUGAAGCAAAAGAUUCAACAGGGGAAUCUUCAGCCUUCACUCCUGCAGUCUCACGUACAGCAACAGCAGCAGCAAAACCUAUUACCUCCUACUCAGUUGCAAUCUUCCCAGCAAUCUGGUAUGCAAACAUCAUCCAUUAUGCAGCCAUCAGCCAUGCAGUCAACUCUUCCUGGUCUUCAACAGAAUCAGCAAUCUUCUCUCCAACAGUCGACACAGUCCAUGCUUCAGCAGCAUCAACAGUCAGUUCUUAGACAGCAGCAACAGCCACAACAGACCACCAGUGCUGGUAUUCAUCAACAACAAACACCAAUGACACAGCAGUCAAUGAUGCCUCAGCAGCAGCAGCAGCAGCAGAUGAUGGGGCAGCAGGCAAAUGCUGCAAAUAUACCACAGAAUCAGUUAAUUGGACAACAAAACAGUAUUGCAGACAUGCAGCAGCAGAGACUGCUAGGCCAGUCUAGUAAUCUGCAGCAACAACAACAGCAGCAGCAGUUAAUGGCUCAACAAAACAACCUUUCAAAUAUGCAUCAGCAACAGUUGGGUCCUCAGAGUAAUAUUUCAGGACUACAGCAACAGCAGCAGCAAUUGGUUGGAACCCAGUCGGGUAACUCAAGCAUGCAAACUAAUCAACAAUCUUUACACAUGCUAUCCCAGCCCAAGGUUUCACUCCAACAAACGCAGCAGACUGCACCUAAUUUACUGCCCACUCAAGGACAGACAUCCCAGCAGCCACAACAGCAGCAGCAACUGAUGUCUCAGAUGCAAUCACAGCCUACUCAGUUGCAGCAACAGUUGGGUUUGCAACAGCAGCCCAAUCAAGUACAACAAAAUAUGCAGCAG